AGACCACAGGCGGAGCGGGUGCGGUUAGUGACCACGCGCGCCGGGGAUGCACCGCCUGGCUUCAUGUUCAGUACUUUGGCGAACCCUUUCAAAUAACCCCAAACGCCCAAAAAACCCGCCCUUCCCAGAACCCUAUCCUCCAUCCCGUCCGGCCGAGUCGCCGGUGGAGAUGACCGGUCUUGCGUCGGAUCACGGCGACUCCGUUGCCACGUUUUCGCCGGACUUCUUGGACCCGGUCGUCUACCCCGUCCACCUUGGCGUCAAUCCCCCGAUCUUCCACGUCUUCGUGUCGUGGACUCGGGGGAACCUCCUCCAAGUCGCGUGCCUCCGUCCUCCGGCGCCGGAUCCAGCCGGCUGCGGUGAUGACGGAGUUUCCGAUGAAGAGGUCGUCGGGAAGGUGGUGGAGGUCACGCUUGGGGCCGGUGACGGGGAGAUCGGUGAGGCCCAGAGGCGGAGGAUCGCUUAUGGCCCAGUUGCGGCCUUCGCGUUGCUCCAGUCGGAAGAAUUCCCUCGCGGCUACCUCCAGAAUGUCUGCGUCUUCGAUUCGCACCGAAUGGUAGGAACAUGUUUUGGAGUCAGUUGUCACAUAAAUGAUCUUCUUGGGACCCCAAGGCUUCCUUCAAGCACAGUGGUUGAGGACCCAAAGAUGUUUCUGCAGCUGCCUCUAUUGAAGUUAAUCAACUCUUCUGCCACAGCACCAUGAGGAGCCUACUGGUUUGAAAGCAGCAUGGCAGCUAAUGGAAAUAUUUUAUGUGGAUAAGCAGUCAUUGACUUGGCUUCCAGGGUGCCUUGUUGAUUGAUGGAAAAUGGACUGGCAGAGGCAGUUGCUGUUCAUGUCUCAACAAUGCCACGCAUGUGUCCUCGUCCCCAAUUGGGUAGGUCAAUGCUUUAAAGCCAGGCCAGAUUUUAUCAAAGUAUGGCUGCAUAAUUGUCCCGUCAUUAUUUUUCGUGUCAUUGAUAAGAGGCUAACCAUGUUAUUUUCACUUGUUGGUUAUAUAUUAUAUAUGAAUUGGAAACAUUCACGAUAGUUCUUGAAUUCAGCUUUUCAUUAAUGUACUCUUUAUGGUUUAGAAAGUUCUUGAAGAGACUAGAAUUCUCGAGUUUAGUCAUUGGCAAGUCGAUGGACUCACAUUAAUGUAAGAGAUAGUGUUUAUUCUAGACAGAUAUAGAUUACUACGAAUAAGUUAAAAGGAUUCAAAUUGUAUCCAUGCAAUGUGCAUGUGUACUCAUUGGAUAUAUUUGGUAAAGUAUAAGUAAAUAUGAGUUGGUUAUUUUUUUUUUCACAUGAUUUCAAGGCAUUAAUUGUCAUCUGAAUGCAUAUAUGGAAGUUUUAAAUUAUUUGAAGAUAUCUCAACUAAACAUGGUCAAACUACUUGACGGGGGGCAAUAAGUAAAAGGUAUGUUUCUAGUCAUCCGCAAAAGAAUUGACAUCUCAAAGGGUGCCUUUUGAGUCUAGAAAAAUCUUAAUAUUCCAUCUUGUUUUGUGGGUUUGAUAUUUGCAUAGAAUUCUUUUCUUGUUGGGGAUUUAAAGUUAAUUUUGCUUGCCUUGCUGGUUGAAAGAGUAUAUUGUCUGCCAUUUUUCUAUAUUUUAUUUGACUGAAAUUUUCUUAGAGGUUAAUUAACCUGUCAAUCAUGGCAAUAUGCUAUUCUGCAAGACUGGCAUACUCUAGUUGAUUGCAAUAGUAAUAAACUUGAGUAUAUUGAGAAUUAGACGAUCAAAAGGAAAUGCUGAUAUUUUGUGGCCUUCUAGCUACUGUUGUCUCAAGUUGUACAAGCUCAUGCAACUCCAACAAUGUUGAAUUGCCUCAUGUACAAGCUCAUGCAAAUCCAACAAUGUUGAUUGCCUCAUGUACAAGCUCAUGCAACUCCAACAAUGUUGAAUUGCCUCAUGUACAAGCUCACUUAUUACAGGUUUAUGAAUCUUUCUGUAGGUUUCCCACUUGAUCUACAGUUGCAGUACUGAUGUUGCUUCGAAUUUUAUUUACUUAUGUCUUCAUUUGUGGAGACCGAUGGACAAGGGUUUGAUCGAGUUAGGAGGACAGGAAUAGGAAACAAAAAAAUUCCAGCUAACCCAUUUUAAGGAGGUGAAAUAAUUUCAAAUCUUUAGUAGCUUUUCAAUGUUCUAUAUUUUGUCAACUACUUCACCAAAAGUUGUAUUCCAUUAUUCUUAUUUUUGACCAACUUUGGAGAUCUGAGCUGAAGCAUGCAGUCUUCUAGUUCCAUUGGCUUUUAGUUUGUCAUUGUCAGAAUAUGCCUGGAUUAGCCAGUGAUACAUCGGCUUUUUCGCAUGCCUAAUUUUUUCAUGGCUGCUGAGUAAAUUUUACUCCUGUGCUUGAGUAAAAUGUAUUUACUUGAAACCUCCGAAUAACAGGAUCUGAGGAAAGUUGAAGACUAAUUAGUAUGUCAAACCAUAUAAGCAUCUGAUGUUAUCUUUAAUGCUGAUAUGUAGUCCCAUAGCACCAUCUGGUUCUUAUCUGCAGAGUUCUAAAACCUCUUCGAGCAAUCAAAGAAGGGCUAGAAAUACAAGAAAGAACCCAUGGCAGUGAACUGAUUCCAAGAUGAACGUCUAAUCAGUUCAAGGAUUCUGCUUCAUGCAUGACCCUCGAGGAGAAGAGGGAGAGGGAUAAGGCGUCUUUGAUAGUAUGCAGGGACAAACAGCUAGAUAUUUGAUUAAUGAAUUUGCAGUGUUCUUCCAUAUUGUAUACUUUCCCCUUUUUAUGUGCAUUCCUAUCAAAGGAAGGAUCGCUGUCAACAAAUUUUUGAAAGGUUGCGAAUGUGUAUUUUAGAAAUAUGAGCAGUUUGCAUUA